UAAAACAUAAUUAAUUAGGUAGUAAAGAAAUCUCUGAAACCUAAAGAAUUUGGCGGUGUUUUAAAUAAUUGGAGGAAUCUGUUAUCUAAUUGAUAUUCCACAACAAAUCUUUCCUAAUUUCUGUCUGUAUAUCGUCAUUUCUGACUAUGUUUUUAAAUAAUAGUCACAAUCAAUAUUAAUUUCAACAAAUUAGAUCAAGGUGCAACAUAAUUGGGUAAUAAUGGAUUACAAUAUUAUUAAAAUAUUUACGAAUAAAGGAAAGAAAACCCUUUUGAAGGAGGAUUCAAAAGUAACCUAAAAUUAAAACGUUUAUUUGAAUAAUAAUUUAAAACAUGC
rnacentral:rRNA from 1 species